rnacentral:rRNA from 1 species
GAUGAACGCUGGCGGCGUGCCUAAUACAUGCAAGUCGAGCGAACGGACGAGAAGCUUGCUUCUCUGAUGUUAGCGGCGGACGGGUGAGUAACACGUGGAUAACCUACCUAUAAGACUGGGAUAACUUCGGGAAACCGGAGCUAAUACCGGAUAAUAUUUUGAACCGCAUGGUUCAAAAGUGAAAGACGGUCUUGCUGUCACUUAUAGAUGGAUCCGCGCUGCAUUAGCUAGUUGGUAAGGUAACGGCUUACCAAGGCAACGAUGCAUAGCCGACGUGAGAGGGGGAUAGGCGACAUUGGAACGGAGACACGGUCCAGACGCCUAAGGGAGGCAGCAGUAGGGAAUCUGACGCAGUGGGCGAAAGCAUGACGGAGCAACGCCGCGUGAGUGAUGAAGGUCUUCGGAGCGUAAAACUCGGUUAUGAGGGAAGAACAGAUGUGGAAGUAACUGUGCACAUCUUGACGGUACCGAAUCAGAAAGCCACGGCUAACUACGUG